rnacentral:rRNA from 1 species
GUAGGUGGCAAGCGUUGUCCGGAAUUAUUGGGCGUAAAGCGCGCGCAGGCGGUCCUUUAAGUCUGAUGUGAAAGCCCACGGCUCAACCGUGGAGGGUCAUUGGAAACUGGGGGACUUGAGUACAGAAGAGGAAAGCGGAAUUCCAAGUGUAGCGGUGAAAUGCGUAGAGAUUUGGAGGAACACCAGUGGCGAAGGCGGCUUUCUGGUCUGUAACUGACGCUGAGCCGCGAAAGCGUGGGGAGCAAACAGGGAUUAGAUACCCUGGUAGUCCACGCCGUAAACGAUGAGUGCUAAGUGUUAGGGGGUUUCCCGCCCCUUAGUGCUGCAGCUAACGCAUUAAGCACUCCGCCUGGGGAGUACGCCGCAAGGCUG